UAACAUAAGUAACCUGCCCUAGACAGGGGGAGUAACUAUUGGAAACGAUAGCUAAGACCGCAUAGGUACGGAUACUGCAUGGUGACCGUAUUAAAAGUGCCUCAAAGCACUGGUAGAGGAUGGACUUAUGGCGCAUUAGCUGGUUGGCGGGGUAACGGCCCACCAAGGCGACGAUGCGUAGCCGACCUGAGAGGGUGACCGGCCACACUGGGACUGAGACACGGCCCAG
rnacentral:rRNA from 1 species